UACGUAGGGUGCAAGCGUUGUCCGGAAUUAUUGGGCGUAAAGAGCUCGUAGGCGGUCUGUCGCGUCGGAUGUGAAAAUCCAGGGCUCAACCCUGGACCUGCAUUCGAUACGGGCAGACUAGAGUUCGGCAGGGGAGACUGGAAUUCCUGGUGUAGCGGUGAAAUGCGCAGAUAUCAGGAGGAACACCGGUGGCGAAGGCGGGUCUCUGGGCCGAUACUGGCGCUGAGGAGCGAAAGCGUGGGGAGCGAACAGG
rnacentral:rRNA from 1 species